rnacentral:rRNA from 1 species
CAGCCGCCGCGGUAAUACGAAGGGGACUAGCGUUGUUCGGAAUUACUGGGCGUAAAGCGCACGUAGGCGGAUAUUUAAGUCAGGGGUGAAAUCCCAGAGCUCAACUCUGGAACUGCCUUUGAUACUGGGUAUCUUGAGUAUGGAAGAGGUGAGUGGAAUUCCGAGUGUAGAGGUGAAAUUCGUAGAUAUUCGGAGGAACACCAGUGGCGAAGGCGGCUCACUGGUCCAUUACUGACGCUGAGGUGCGAAAGCGUGGGGAGCAAACAGGAUUAGAUACCCCUGUAGUCCCUGUCUCUUAUCC